AUUGAACGCUGGCGGCAUGCCUUACACAUGCAAGUCGAACGGCAGCGCGGGGCAACCUGGCGGCGAGUGGCGAACGGGUGAGUAAUAUAUCGGAACGUACCCUGGAGUGGGGGAUAACGUAGCGAAAGUUGCGCUAAUACCGCAUACGAUCUAAGGAUGAAAGUGGGGGAUUCGCAAGAACCUCAUGCUCCUGGAGCGGC
rnacentral:rRNA from 1 species